rnacentral:lncRNA from 10 species
GGCUCACCUUCCUGGAUUCCUGUCUUCUUCCUAGAUCUUGGUCCGUGAAACAACCUAGUGAGAUCCAGUACAGCUUCCAACUUAUAUUAGACCAACUUUCCUCCCUAUGACAUUAAUAGCUGGGGUAUGGAGCUGUCAGAGUGACACGUAAACUCCAAUCAGAUCACCAAGUGGCCUCAGAAAUGCACACAUACAAGAGUCCCUCUGUCAGUUCUGAGACACCUGAAGCUAGGAGUGGAGUGAAACCAGCACCCCUGAGGACACCACCACUAUGACUGUGCUCAGCCAGACUUGAAGCCAGCACAACACUGGGUCUUCCCUGCUGUAACCACUCCCUGGCCACUGCCUAUGUUUGCUCAAGGCCUUGGGGCUCUACAAUAAACAGGUGGAAAAGCCAUCCAGUGCACGAAAAUGCUCUUUGCACCACACCACAGCUGCC